rnacentral:rRNA from 1 species
CACGUAGGAGGCGAACGUUAUCCGGAUUUACUGGGCGUAAAGCGCGUGUAGGUGGUUCGGUAAGUAGGGCGUGAAAGCUCCCGGCUCAACUGGGAGAGGCCGUUCUAAACUGCCGAGCUAGAGGAUGGUAGAGGGAGGUGGAAUUCCGAGUGUAGCGGUGGAAUGCGCAGAUAUUCGGAGGAACACCAGUGGCGAAGGCGGCCUCCUGGACCAUUCCUGACACUCAGACGCGAAAGCUAGGGUAGCAAACGGGAUUAGAUACCCGGGUAGUCCCUGAGCGGG